AGGAGUUCAAGGCUGUUCUGGCUGAAGGAUUUCAGUUGUUUUACUUCUCUCCUUGGGUACACAGACCAUGGCAAAGAAGAGAGGAGCGGAGACCCUCUUGUUUCUUCUCUUCCUGGAUUAUUGGCAAGGUGCAGAGCUCCACCCUUUGCACCUCAUCAAAGGCAGGAGAUGGUGCUCUCCUCCCACGGGUGCUUGGAGUGAGUGCAGGGCUUCUCCCCAUUCUGCUUUACCUCCCUGGGUCUACCGGAGGGGUGUCUUGCUCAGGAGAAGGGAGAAACUUUAACAUUUUCCCCAACUUUGAAACUUUUUCAAACUCUAGAGCUCCAUGGAAGGGGAGCAUACAUGCACCUUUUAACUUUUUAUUUAACUUUUAAAAAUAACUUAAUUUUUAAAACUUUUUAUUACAAAAAAUAUCAAACAUACAAAAGGAGAGAGAUUAGUAAAAUGAACCUCUGUGGCUAAUCAGGCCAACUUUGUUUCUUCUAUCCCCUCACCGUACUUUAAGUAACAGCUUGAAAUAUUAUUCAUAUAACAUAAAAUUCACCUUUAAAAUGUCUAUUUCAGUGAUUUUUAUUAUAUUCACAGGAUUGUGAAGCACCACUCUAAUUUUAGAACAUUUUCUCGCUCCAAAAAGUCAUGUCACACUCACUUGCUGUCACUCCAUCCCCCCUUCCCCACAGUCCCUGGCAACUGCUAAUCUACCAUCUGCUCUGUGAAUCUGUCUCUUCUGGAUAUUUCACAUAUGGAAUCAGAGUAUCUGGUCUUUUGUACAGGUUUCUUUCAUUGAACAUGUUUUCUGUGUUCACCCACCUCAUGGCAUGAAUUUAUCACGUUUUGUUAAUUCAUUUAUCAGUUGAUAGACAUUUGGGUUGUUUCAACCUUUUGGCUCUUUGAAUAACUCUUAUGAAUAUUUUAUGAACUUGGUUUUUACAAAGUGAACAUUAGAUUUCCAUGCUCUACUCGUAAGUCUUACUGCAUUUAGAACCACUUUUAUUAUUUACUAAACUAAUUGGCUGACCACAUUUUGGAACAUUCUCUCAAUGUAAAGAAACAGGGUCUGUGGAGAAAAGCAAAAGGAGUGGACACAGACCUUGUGAUGGAGGAAGCUAUAGUACUGUUUCCCCAAAAUUAAACAGAGCAGUAUCACGUCAUCUGCCAUAAAAGUACAUUUUGCAAACUGUCAGGACCAAAGGGAUUUUGUUGAACAAAUAUUUACUGCUUAGGCUUACUUAUACUUCCAUUGUAUUGAUUCUUAAUCAUUCUCUAAUAUCUCAGCAAGAGAACUUUUUGUUUCUUUCAUUUAUCAAAAAACCAUCAUACCAGCAAGCAAUAGCCAUGCACCAUUAACCACCUACUUACCAGUUUUCCUACAGAGUUGAAAGCUGUCGUGUGCAUAGAUUACUCAGUGUCUACUACACAGACUGUGGGGAAACCAGCGUUGUCCUGGUUCUGAGUAUCUUCAGAUUCUUGCAGACACUUCAUGAAUGCUUGGCGGCUUUCAGAAGAUGUGGCUGCUGUGGCCUGAAACUCCUUCAUUAAGGGACAAGUUUCUCCUCUCUGAUGGGUUUGCACACUCUUCAGGGCCCAGAGAAAAGGGCUGGCCUUCACCUUGAAUCAGGAAAAUGUGUCACAGACAUCAUGACCUCCAAAAAGAAAAACCUGAUAAAAUAGCUCAAAAUCUGCACAGGUCACUUCAGUCUUUUAGCACAAUUAAUUCAUAUCCGUGAUGUAGCCAGGUGAGGGUCAGCAGACGUCUUACUGCCCAUCCAUGUUGUCCCAGGGGAGAUUGCUGUUUUGGCCCAUUUCUGUUUGCACCUUCAUUUUU
rnacentral:lncRNA from 9 species